UGCAAUCAAGGAGGUAGAUAUGUAUGUUACAUUGGGGUAAUUACAUUCGGUACUAUUGCCCCUACUAUGGAAUAAUGCUGAUACUUUUAAUCAUUUACCUAACAUUUAUAAUAUUCAAUUUCUCAGUGUUUAAUCAGUUGUGUUGUACAUUUAGGCCUUGCAUUUUAAUGCUAGACUCCCAAUCUGGGCAAGUGAGUGACAGCAUGGAUGUGUUCCAAAACAUUCGAAGUUACUUAACAGAAAUGUGGAAAAACACAAGAAAAACACCCAGGAUAUUUUCUGCAGAGUCCUGAAAUUGAGGGUACCUGAACAGCAAGGAAACACUUCUGAGUGUGGCAUAUUUGUAUUACUCUAUGCAGAGAAAUUUCUGAAGGAUCCUCCCAAAGAACUAAUCAAUGAGCUUGACUGUACAUCCUGGUUUACACUGGCUGAUGCAUUUUCAAGGCGUGCACAGAUCAGGGACAAAAUGCAAAGCAGUUU